GCGCAGCCGCUGCUGCCUUGGCAGCCUGCAGCCUUGCUGGCCGAGCUCGGGCCGGGACCGAGCUGCUGCUGGCCUGCGCGCCGCCGCCACCUGGUGACGGCCGUGCCGCCUCCCUCCGGCCUCCCGCCGGCACCUCCGCGACCGGCCAGAGUGGCCGCCGCCGUCGCUCCUGCGGUCUGCGGCCAGCCGAGCGAGAUCUGGCCGUGGGUGGCCAGAUCUCUCUCCCCCGCAUCGCCGCUGUCCAGGCUCGGCCGGGCCGCCUCCCGCCGGCCUCUGACAACCGCUCGCCGUCGCCCGGAGCUCCCCCAGCCGUUCUCGUGGCCGCCGGCCGCCGCUCCCUCUCCCUGCGGCCGCGCAAGGUUUGCGGGCCGAGCCGCA
rnacentral:lncRNA from 1 species